rnacentral:rRNA from 1 species
UACGUAGGGUGCAAGCGUUGUCCGGAAUUAUUGGGCGUAAAGAGCUCGUAGGCGGUCUGUCGCGUCGGCUGUGAAAACCCGGAGCUCAACUCCGGGCCUGCAGUCGAUACGGGCAAACUGGAGUGUUGCAGGGGAGACUGGAAUUCCUGGUGUAGCAGUGAAAUGCGUAGAGAUCAUGAGGAAGACCAGUGGCGAAGGCGGGUCUCUGGACAGUUCCUGACACUGAGGCACGAAGGCCAGGGGAGCAAACGGG